rnacentral:rRNA from 1 species
CUGAAGUAACAAAUGCCCUGCUUCCAGGAAAAGCCUCUAAGCAUCAGGUAACAUCAAAUCGUACCCCAAACCGACACAGGUGGUCAGGUAGAGAAUACCAAGGCGCUUGAGAGAACUCGGGUGAAGGAACUAGGCAAAAUGGUGCCGUAACUUCGGGAGAAGGCACGCUGGUGUGUAGGUGAAGUCCCUGCGGAUGGAGCUGAGACCAGUCGAAGAUACCAGCUGGCUGCAACUGUUUAUUAAAAACACAGCACUGUGCAAACACGAAAGUGGACGUAUACGGUGUGACGCCUGCCCGGUGCCGGAAGGUUAAUUGAUGGGGUUAUCCGUAAGGAGAAGCUCUUGAUCGAAGCCCCGGUAAACGGCGGCCGUAACUAUAACGGUCCUAAGGUAGCGAAAUUCCUUGUCGGGUAAGUUCCGACCUGCACGAAUGGCGUAAUGAUGGCCAGGCUGUCUCCACCCGAGACUCAGUGAAAUUGAACUCGCUGUGAAGAUGCAGUGUACCCGCGGCAAGACGGAAAGACCCCGUGAACCUUUACUAUAGCUUGACACUGAACAUUGAGCCUUGAUGUGUAGGAUAGGUGGGAGGCUUUGAAGCGUGGACGCCAGUCUGCGUGGAGCCAACCUUGAAAUACCACCCUUUAAUGUUUGAUGUUCUAACGUGGGCCCCUGACCGGGGUUGCGGACAGUGUCUGGUGGGUAGUUUGACUGGGGCGGUCUCCUCCCAAAGCGUAACGGAGGAGCACGAAGGUUAGCUAAUCCUGGUCGGACAUCAGGAGGUUAGUGCAAUGGCAUAAGCUAGCUUGACUGCGAGCGUGACGGCGCGAGCAGGUGCGAAAGCAGGUCAUAGUGAUCCGGUGGUUCUGAAUGGAAGGGCCAUCGCUCAACGGAUAAAAGGUACUCCGGGGAUAACAGGCUGAUACCGCCCAAGAGUUCAUAUCGACGGCGGUGUUUGGCACCUCGAUGUCGGCUCAUCACAUCCUGGGGCUGAAGUAGGUCCCAAGGGUAUGGCUGUUCGCCAUUUAAAGUGGUACGCGAGCUGGGUUUAGAACGUCGUGAGACAGUUCGGUCCCUAUCUGCCGUGGGCGCUGGAGAAUUGAGGGGGGCUGCUCCUAGUACGAGAGGACCGGAGUGGACGCAUCACUGGUGUUCGGGUUGUCAUGCCAAUGGCACUGCCCGGUAGCUAAAUGCGGAAGAGAUAAGUGCUGAAAGCAUCUAAGCACGAAACUUGCCCCGAGAUGAGUUCUCCCUGAGACUUUAAGUCUCCUGAAGGAACGUUGAAGACGACGACGUUGAUAGGCCGGGUGUGUAAGCGCAGCGAUGCGUUGAGCUAACCGGUACUAAUGAACCGUGAGGCUUAACC